rnacentral:tRNA from 1 species
GCGCCCAUAGCUCAAUUGGACAGAGCGUCUGGCUACGGACCAGAAGGUUGGGGGUUCAACUCCUCCUGGGCGUA